AUUGAACGCUGGCGGCAUGCUUUACACAUGCAAGUCGAACGGCAGCGCGGGCUUCGGCCUGGCGGCGAGUGGCGAACGGGUGAGUAAUGCAUCUGAACGUGCCCAGUAGUGGGGGAUAGCCCGGCGAAAGCCGGAUUAAUACCGCAUACGACCUGAGGGUGAAAGCGGGGGACCGAAAGACCUCGCGCUAUUGGAGCGGCCGAUGUCGGAUUAGCUAGUUGGUGGGGUAAAGGCUUACCAAGGCGACGAUCCGUAGCUGGUCUGAGAGGACGACCAGCCACACUGGGACUGAGACACGGCCCAGACUCCUACGGGAGGCAGCAGUGGGGAAUUUUGGACAAAGGGGGCAACCCUGAUCCAGCCAUGCCGCGUGCGGGAAGAAGGCCUUCGGGUUGUAAACCGCUUUUGUUCGGGAAGAACUCCUCUGGGCUAAUACCCCGGGGGGAUGACGGUACCGGAAGAAUAAGCACCGGCUAACUACGUG
rnacentral:rRNA from 1 species